AUGGGUGAGGAUUCGGAUGUGCCAACGAAUUUGAGGACUGAGGCAAUAAUGGAAGCUCUAUGUGUGAAGCUGGGAACGUUUUUGCAGGCCGAGCUUGAUGAGAACAGAGGGAACUACGUACGCGUUCAGGUCGCGAUGCCAUUGAAUCGGCCACUAGAAACAUCGGUGGCGAUGUUCGCUACACUGAAAGAGAAGCGGACUAAGGUCGAGUUGGAGAUUCAGUACGAAAAACUGCCCAACUUCUUUUAUACCUACGGAUACCUUGGCGACGAGGAGAAAUCAUGUGUGAACAAAGUUGAAGGGGGGUGCACCAACAGGCAAGUUCAGUGGCAAGCUGAGAUGUUCACCGCCGCGGCGAUUCAUGCGGCUCUAUGGUAUAGUUCGAGCAAGGACUAA
rnacentral:rRNA from 1 species